rnacentral:rRNA from 1 species
AUGGGUCGCAAGAGGAAGAGCACAAUGGGUGGAAAGACUCCACCGUCAAAGGGCCGGCCUUGCUGCAAGUCGGUGGCGGUGCCCAGUCUAGUUGCCGUAGAGGCGCCGGAGCCGGUGGCAGCGUCCAACGCAAUGGUGCCACAUCAUCAGCCAAAAGGAGGACCAGGGCUACUCAAACAAGCCUGCAGUGCAGUCGCGGUAUCUGCGGCGAAGGAAAAGGUGGUGAAGCUCGACUUAGAUGUUCCGAUGAGGGUGCUAAACUGCGACGUGUGCUAUGGCCUCCUGAAGGCUCCCAUCUUCCAGUGCUCCCUUCUGCGGCACGUCGCGUGCAGGUCCUGCAGUGAGUUCCACGGCGGCAAGUGCCGUCCUUGUGCAGACUUGGCCGCCUCCGCUGUCUACGUCCAGAGCUCCUACCUGGACACCCUAUUCGGCUACAUCAAGGAGGCCUGCCCGUACAAAAAGUACGGCUGCACAAGCACUAUUGUCAUAGGUGACCUGGCGGCGGCGCACAGAGCCACAUGCGAGUUCGAGCCCUGUUGGUGCACGAGGUGCUCUUUCAAGGGCUCGCCGGCGGACCUCGUGAGCCACUUCACGCUCACGCACGCCUGGUCCGCCCACAAGUUCACAUACGGCCAAGACUACAUAUACAACACCGACGAGAUGGAUUCGUCGUUUGUGUACACCGACAAGAUGGAUUCGUGGAUGGUGCGCUAUGAACUCUUUCUCGGGGAGGACGGUGGCGUGUUCCUAUUGGUCGUGGACCUUGCUCCGUUCUUCCAGGAGUUCCCUUUCCCCUUGGUGACCCUUGUGUGUGUCAGGAAUAGCGCUGCUGCUGCCGCUGGGCCGGUGUACACCUACUCGGUCAGGGCGGAUGCCCCUCCUGCUCAGAGGCGCAAGCUGAAGCUGGAAAUUAAGGAGGUGGCGAGCUGCCCGGACUGGAGGAUGGAGCGUGACUGUUUCCCACUGCUUCCGGGGAUGCUGCGUGAGGAAAAAACCAGCAAGAGUGUCCUUGUGCGCAUCUGCGUUAGCAAGAGCGAGAGCAGCAGCGCGUCAUGCUCAAGUUAG